CCAUCCUUCAGAGGGUCCUGGGGGACAUGGACCACUCAGCCUCCAACCCUGCCAUGCUUCCCAGGCGCUAUGCCUCAGUCCCACUGGAGCUAGCAGCCAUGAUAAGCAGAGGAACCCAACAGUCUCCAGUACAGGGAGGGCGGGGAAGCAGGCAGGUUCCUGGCCCUGGAGCUGUGGCCAGGUGUGAAUAACCAUUUGUCUGGGAUGGGGGACCUGGCACUCAAGCCUGGGGAGCUGAGGCUUAUGGGCUGGAGCAGGAGACAAGGGGGUGCCUGUACUCACACAGCUUUCAGCCUUCCUCAGGGGAGGACCCUGCGGCUUCCUGUCUCAGCUAAUGGCCCCGGGGACACAUUCCCUCUCCUUAUAUCUAGGCCCGGGGAUAUUGCCAGAGUGUUCAUGUCAUAAAAAUGAAAAACAGGACACUGCAGACAGACAGGGAAGGGCUGGGCCUCGGAUGGGAGGCUGUCUCUGGGGGACAUCGGUAAUGAGAGCUCUCUCCCCCGCCUCUACGGUGUUUUCUAGAUUGUUCUGAGGCCCCGCCCAAUAGUCCUUUGUGGUCAUGGUCCAUUCUGGUGCCCCAACGGUGUGUUUCCCCGUCUCACGACAGCCUCUUCAUCAUGGGAAGGGGUCCAAGUGAGGGUGGGCGACUGGCUACGCCUCAGGGUGGGAUCAUGGGGGGUGGGAUGCAGGGCCUGAGGCAGGGAAGAACUGGGGACCAAGCCAGGCACAUGUGCAUAUGCAUGUGCGUGCAUGUGAAUAUGAGUGUGUGUGUGCA
rnacentral:lncRNA from 10 species